UACAGAGGUCUCAAGCGUUGUUCGGAUUUAUUGGGCGUAAAGGGUGCGUAGGUGGCGGGGUAAGUCAGGUGUGAAAUCUCGGAGCUCAACUCCGAAACUGCACUUGAUACUGCCUUGCUCGAGUACUGGAGAGGAGAUUGGAAUUUACGGUGUAGCAGUGAAAUGCGUAGAUAUCGUAGGGAAGACCAGUGGCGAAGGCGAAUCUCUGGACAGUUACUGACACUGAGGCACGAAGGCCAGGGGAGCAAACAGG
rnacentral:rRNA from 1 species